CGUCGCAUAAAUAGUUCACCCGCCAAUGAUAGCUUACGUGUGCAUCACAACAAUUGAUUAAGCUCUCUAUUAUUCAUCCAGAAUAGAAAAAACGCAAAAGAAAAAUAAAAUAGCAGCGGUGGAAGCAAUUAAGUUAACUUUAAUGCAGUUUAAUGUUCACAGAUCAUUUUUUACCUGCAGUCACGUCUCUUGCUCUCUCUGUCUCUCUCUCUUUAGUCUUCCAUCAUUCUUCAGGAAAGAACAACAUACAAAAAGAUAACUUUUGUUUCUGAAAGAUCAAAGAUGCUGCUUUAAUAUGCACUCGCAUGUCUUUCAGAUGUAUAAGAAAG
rnacentral:lncRNA from 1 species